rnacentral:lncRNA from 1 species
CGCCACCAGGCCGUAGCUUACGGCCCCUAUAACCCACAAGAAGAAUGCACCGUAAAACAGGAGCACAAGGGCGUAUGGAACAACUGCUCACCGUAAGUGGCCGUAGCUUACGGCGCCGAUCGAGCCAAAAAUGUAACUGACACAUUAAAGAGCAUUUUGAAGACACUUAUUGAUGGCUAAUCAUGCUAGGUCGGUUACCACUUGAGGAAAACGAGUGGGGGACUAUUUAGGAGGCACUUG